GACGAACGCUGGCGGCGUGCUUAACACAUGCAAGUCGAACGGAAAGGCCCUGCUUUUGUGGGGUGCUCGAGUGGCGAACGGGUGAGUAACACGUGAGUAACCUGCCCUUGACUUUGGGAUAACUUCAGGAAACUGGGGCUAAUACCGGAUAGGAGCUCCUGCUGCAUGGUGGGGGUUGGAAAGUUUCGGCGGUUGGGGAUGGACUCGCGGCUUAUCAGCUUGUUGGUGGGGUAGUGGCUUACCAAGGCUUUGACGGGUAGCCGGCCUGAGAGGGUGACCGGCCACAGUGGGACUGAGAUACGGCCCAGACUCCUACGGGAGGCAGCAGUGGGGAAUAUUGCACAAUGGGCGGAAGCCUGAUGCAGCAACGCCGCGUGCGGGAUGACGGCCUUCGGGUUGUAAACCUCUUUCGCCUGUGACGAAGCGUGAGUGACGGUAAUGGGUAAAGAAGCACCGGCUAACUACGUG
rnacentral:rRNA from 1 species